GCCUGGGUGGCUCAGUCGGUUGAGCAUCCGACUUCAGCUCAGGUCAUGAUCUCACAAUCUGUGAGUUCAAGCCCCGCAUCGGGCU
rfam:Felis catus isolate Cinnamon breed Abyssinian chromosome B1, whole genome shotgun sequence.